rnacentral:rRNA from 1 species
AAUGAACGCUGGCGGCGUGCCUAAUACAUGCAAGUCGAACGAACAGACGAUGAGCUUGCUCCUCUGACGUUAGCGGCUGGCGGAUGAGUAAGACGUAGAUAACCUACCUAUAAGACUGGGAUAACUUCGUGAAACCGGAUCUAAUACCACCUAAUAUAUUCUACCGCAUGGUUCAAUAGUUAUAGGGAGUUUUGCUGACACUUUUAGAUGAUGUCGGGCCGCAUUGGCUACGUGGUAAGGUAACGGCUUACCAAGGCAACGAUGCGUAGCCGACCUGAUAGGGUGAUAGGACAAACUGGAACUGAGACACGGGCCAGGGUCGUACGGGAGGCAGCAGUAGGGAAUCUUCCGCAAUGGGCGAAAGCUUGACGGAGCAACGCCGCGUGAGUGAUGAAGGUCUUCGGAUCGUAAAACUCUGUUAUUAGGGAAGAACAAAUGUGUAAGUAACUAUGCACGUCUUGACGGUACCUAAUCAGAAAGCCACGGCUAACUACGUG